GUAAUAAUCCUGUAGUCGAAAAUGUUGUCUCUCUUGAGUGGAUCCUGAGUACGACGGAGCACGUGAAAUUCCGUCGGAAUCUGGGAGGACCAUCUCCUAAGGCUAAAUACUCUCUAGUGACCGAUAGUGAACCAGUACCGUGAGGGAAAGGUGAAAAGCACCCCGGAAGGGGAGUGAAAUAGAACCUGAAACCGUGUGCUUACAAGUAGUCAGAGCCCGUUAAUGGGUGAUGGCGUGCCUUUUGUAGAAUGAACCGGCGAGUUACGAUUUGAUGCAAGGUUAAGCAGUAAAUGUGGAGCCGUAGCGAAAGCGAGUCUGAAUAGGGCGUUUAGUAUUUGGUCGUAGACCCGAAACCAGGUGAUCUACCCUUGGUCAGGUUGAAGUUCAGGUAACACUGAAUGGAGGACCGAACCGACUUACGUUGAAAAGUGAGCGGAUGAACUGAGGGUAGCGGAGAAAUUCCAAUCGAACCUGGAGAU
rnacentral:rRNA from 1 species